rnacentral:rRNA from 1 species
UUUNGGUUGUAAAAUCUCUUUUAGCAAGGAAGAANCGAAAGUGACGGUACUUGCAGAAAAAAGCACCGGCUAACUACNUGCCAGCAGCCGCGGUAAUACGUAGGGUGCAAGCNGUUAUCCGGAAUUAUUGGGCGUAAAGAGCUCGUAUGCGGUUUGUCGCGUCUGCUGUNAAAUCUGGGGGCUCAACCCCCANCCUGCAGUGGGUACGGNCAGACUAUUAGUGCGGUAGGGGAGAUUGNAAUUCCUGGUGUAGCGGUGGAAUGCGCAGAUAUCAGGAGGAACACCGAUGGCGAAGGCANAUCUCUGGGCCGUAACUGACGCUGAGGAGCGAAAGCGUGGGGAGCGAACAGGAUUANAUACCCUGGUAGUCCAAGGNCGAA